AUGGUGGCGGCGGGGCCUCGGUUGCCCUGCUUCUGCGUGGGGAACCCCGGAUCUGGAGCGGCGGCUCCAUUGGCAAGGCACGGGCGGCUAGCAGCCGUGCGGGCGGUGGAUCGGGUGUCCCGGCUGCGCGGGCGGCGGGAUCCGUGGUCGUUGGCGGCCGGCGACGGCUUCUGCAGCGGUCGGUGCGCGUGA
rnacentral:rRNA from 1 species